rnacentral:rRNA from 1 species
UCGGGUAUGUACUGGUGUUACUGAUUCCUCCCUUCUGACGAACUAUCAUGCCAUUUACUUGGUGUGGUGGGAAAUCGGGACUGUUACUUUGAAAAAAUUAGAGUGUUUAAAGCAGGCUCACGCUUGAAUACAUUAGCAUGGAAUAAUGAAAUAGGACGUUGAUCUUAUUUUGUUGGUUUCUAGGAUUAACGUAAUGAUUAAUAGGGAUAGUUGGGGGCAUUAGUAUUCAAUUGUCAGAGGUGAAAUUCUUGGAUUUAUUGAAGACUAACUACUGCGAAAGCAUUUGCCAAGGAUGUUUUCAUUAAUCAAGAACGAAAGUUAGGGGAUCGAAGACGAUCAGAUACCGUCGUAGUCUUAACUAUAAACUAUGCCGACUAGGGAUCGGAUGAUGUUAAUUUUUUAAUGACUCAUUCGGCGCCUUACG